GUGAAUCAUCAAAUUUUUGAACGCAAAUUGCACUUUCUGGUAUUCCGGAAAGUAUGCCUGUUUGAGGGUCAGUCAAAUAAAAAUCGGUGUUAUUGCUUUUAAUGGUGAUGCAUCGGAAUUGAUUCGUCUUUACUUUUGGUUUUAAGUGAUUUAAAAUUAUGUACGAUUUCUGAACGUAUUUAAUUUAUUAAUUAACGCUCUU
rnacentral:misc_RNA from 1 species